UUGUUGGCAGUUCAGUGGUAGUAUUCUCGCCUUCCAUGUUAGAGACCUGGAUUCAAUUCCCAGCCAACAUA
rnacentral:tRNA from 1 species